GCCGUGGUGGCGGAAUAGGUAUACGCGUCGGUCUCAAAAACCGAUGGGAGCAAUCCUGUGUGGGUUCGAUUCCCACCCACGGCA
rnacentral:tRNA from 1 species